rnacentral:rRNA from 1 species
AGCUUGCUUCCUUGAUGCUUAGCGGCGGACGGGUGAGUAACACGUAGGCAACCUGCCCUCAAGCUUGGGACAACUACCGGAAACGGUAGCUAAUACCGAAUACUUGUUUUCUUCGCCUGAAGANAACUGGAAAGACGGAGCAAUCUGUCACUUGAGGAUGGGCCUGCGGCGCAUUAGCUAGUUGGUGAGGUAACGGCUCACCAAGGCGACGAUGCGUANCCGACCUGAGAGGGUGAUCGGCCACACUGGGACUGAGACACGGCCCAGACUCCUACGGGAGGCAGCAGUAGGGAAUCUUCCGCAAUGGGCGAAAGCCUGACGGAGCAAUGCCGCGUGAGUGAUGAAGGUUUUCGGAUCGUAAAGCUCUGUUGCCAGGGAAGAACGNNNNNGAGAGUAACUGCUCNNNNNGUGACGGUACCUGAGAAGAAAGCCCCGGCUAACUACGUGCCAGCAGCCGCGGUAAUACGUANGGGGCAAGCGUUGUCCGGAAUUAUUGGGCGUAAAGCGCGCGCAGGCGGUCAUUUAAGUCUGGUGUUUAAUCCCGGGGCUCAACCCCGGAUCGCACUGGAAACUG